rnacentral:lncRNA from 1 species
GAAAAAACAAACCCAUUACAGUAUGCUCAUGCUAAGCUGUGAACCACAAAUGUGCCCUUACAGCAUGGAAUACUUAAGAGCCCUAUUGCUCCCUCUUAUUCUGUCACUUGAAUUUUUUAUCUCCAUAUGUUUCUGUUAUGUUCACAAAACCACAGGCUAGGAUCCACACUACCCAAUUUCUCCUCUGAUCUUCCACAAAGGUGAGUGAUAUGUUGGAAAAGAUCACUCCCAACCAUAUGGCAGAGGCACCUCCCAACCCUGCCCCUGUUUAGCAAAGAACUUUGUUUCUGAUUUUACUGAGCAAAUGGGAGUCAUUGCACAAGCAAACCCCUUUCUGACCCUCCAACCACCUACAGCUACGCAUCUGUCACUUUUCAUACUAUCCCUCCUAAAAAGAGCUCUUUCUCCUCACACAAGUUUUCAUCUUUUCCCACGACCCAACCUAACUUGCUUUUUGUUGCAUGGGGCUUAGGUUGAUUUUGCCAUUCCUCAUAAAAGGGACUAAAAGUGGGCCCCUUUGACAGUGCUGUUGUAUGCUCAAGCAAUCAAAUGAUGGACCACAGGCAGCUCUUAACACUUAAAAUAAGACUUGCCAAGCGCUAAUGGCAUCUGAGGAUCCUUUUCAAGCAGGAGACUUUUAUCCCUAUAGGUCCCUAAUGCAUGAUUUUACAGCUGUAUUUUCCUAAGUAAAUACCUAAGGGUUCCCAAAUAGAGUGCUCAUAAUCUAAAUUGAGUCACUUGCCAGAGUUUAUUGGAGAGCCUUACACAGGCAUCUAGCUGCUGCUGAAUGCUACAAAGUACCCAAAGUGCCAAGAACAGAAAGACCAGAGUUUCCAUCAUUCUCAGACAGGCUGAACUGCAUCAUCUGCAUCAUCAACACUGGCCUGAGCCGGCCAUGGUUUCAAUUGCUGCUAUUCUUGAAAUGAUCAAUAGGAUGUCACUUUUAUAGAUGUUUGUGCCAGUGUUCUGUAGAACACUGUUACUGUUACUGUUUUUCUUCUGGCUCUCUGUAGUCUGUUAGCACCAAUUUCUUUCCUCCUAUGGAGAUGGGAACUUCUUGGUUAGGCAGUCGUCCAUGCUAAAUAAAGUUCAACAAUUGAAAAGACUAGUAAGUGCGGACAUUUCGGUAAUUCCUUUGUUAGCUUUUUCAGUGUGUCUUUCCCAUAGCCCAGUGGGUGCUAGAAUGAGAAGGCUGUGUUCAUUUUGACUCUGGAAAAGCUGGCAACCUCAUUCUAGUGCACCUUUCUUGUGCUCUCUAGUGUUAACAGGUG